rnacentral:lncRNA from 1 species
GCUAGAUGAAGUGUGCGAAACUCAUACACAAAGCAUAGUGGUAUGGAAGCUCGCUGUGACCCGGGCUCUUCUAGGAUAGCAGCCACCUGCAGACCUGCUGGUGCUGAUGACCCCUCGACCGGGCGCUUGAGGUGCCGCGGCUACCAGAGGACUCUGCGUUACAGUGGUCAAAGGCUGCUCGUGGGCCGGACUGCUGGCUUGCUGCUGUGACGCGCACGCCACCGCGAGCCCUGCUGGGGCGAGCCCCUGCAGACUGCAGCUGCGGUAGGUCGCCAGCGACCCCAGCCAUCGCAGAGCUCAGACCCCAUGUUCGUGUGUGUGUGGGGGGAGAGGUUACACGGUGAUGCGCACGUUCUGCGUGCCUUCCUGCAGCUUUUCGGGUCAACAUCCUCGGAACCAGGCUGUGGAAAGCCGAAAGCCGCACGAGAAAGGCAAGUCUGAUGCAUGGUGUUAGUUCUUGCUAUCGGUUAUCAGUAUUGCAGGGCUCGCCCGUCGACAUUUCCCCUGUGUGCGCGGCUCCGAUACAGAAGUCCCAGGUGGGAUUGGGGCAUCGGGGUUCGGGAAUCCGAAUCGCACCAGACGGGGGCGGGUAACAAUCGGGACUUCAAAUCACUAAUACUUUGCAGGCACACUAAUGUUUGAGGUGCUGCAUUGCACGAGCAAGGGCGGG